UUACGGCCAUAUCGCGUUGAAACAUUGGUCCUCUACGAUCACCGAAGUUAAGCAACGUCAAGCCUAGUUAGUACGAUGAUGGGUGACUGUUUGGGAAUACCAGGUGCUGUAAG